GACGAACGCUGGCGGCGUGCCUAAUACAUGCAAGUCGAACGCAGUGGGGACGGGUGAGUAACACGUGGGUAACCUCCCAUCAGAGGGGAUAACACUUGGAAACAGGUGCUAAACCGAUACUGAUGGAUGGACCCGGGGUGCAUUAGAGAGUUGGGGAGGUAACGGCCCACCAAGGCCACGAGGCAUAGCCGACCUGAGAGGGUGAGCGGCCAAACUGGGACUGAGACACGGCCCAGACUCCGACGGGAGGCAGCAGUGGGGAAUCUUCGGCAAUGGGCUAAAGUCUGACCGAGAAACGCCGCGUGAGUGAAGAAGGUUUUCGGGUCGUAAAACUCUGUUGGUAGAGAAGCGGUAUCUAACCAGAAAGCCACGGCUAACUACGUGCCAGCCGCCGCGGUAAUAC
rnacentral:rRNA from 1 species